ACAUCCGGUGGUAACAGGGCCCUACACAGACCCGCACUGACCUGGAAAAGCUUCGGGAGCGGCGACGGGAAGGCAGCAGGAGGUGGUGCGGGGACCCGAGGCGCCUCGUACCCGGCCGGGCUGACGCGGCCCCGCUACACACAAAGCGCUUCAGCUGCACAGGGCGCUAUUUUCCGAAAAUGCCGCGUCUGGUCGGCGCCCAAAAUCCCCACCGAAAAGUCCCCCGUGCUGCGCGCGGAGGGACACAUGGUGUGCGAGUGAGUCAAGCUCCCAGCAUCCCUCCCGGACCCGGCCCUCUUCAGCUCAUCGCCCGAGGAUUUUCCGCCUCUGCCCUCGUCGGCAGAUCCUGCUCCUACCCACUCCCUAGCUGUGUUCCCGCGGGGAGAGAGGGGAAAGAGGGUCUGAUUUUUUAACGAAGGGAAAGAAAAUAUGCCAUUUCUAGCGCUUCAGCCACACAAAGAAAGCGGCGGAAUGAUCCGCUCUCGGCGACCGCAAGUCCCGGCUCGCCCGGCGCCUGCGCGGCAGCGGGGGUGGGAGCUGCGGACGGCCAUGUGCGCGGCGGAGAGGCCGGGUGGCCACCGAACCUUCCCGCCUGUUCUGCGGUGGGUAGGAGUUUGGAAACUAAUGUUCCUGUGCUAACCUUCGUGUCUCUGUGACAUGACUGUUGAAAGACGGAGAGUGCGGAAUCUUUGGAGUUUUAAGCUUGCCAACUGUGCGGCCUAGCAGAAUCCUGGGAGACGGAAGGACAGCCAAGAGGCUAGGAUUUACCUUUAAGUGUCCCUAGAUUCAACUAGGCAGACUGGGACGGGAGACGCUGUGAAGGUACCAGGGAAGGAACGAGUGAGGUUCCUUUUCCACUUUUUCAUAAACUCAACAGUCAGGUUCAUGACGAAGAUAUAGAUAUUUCUGUAGAUUUUUUCCCCAACAUUCUAAUUAUGCCUCAUGUUUCGUAGAUCCUAGUAACUGCUUGGAUUACUGCCACCUCAGAGGUAGAGAUCUGUUUUUCCGUGGCUGGAAUGCCAAAAAUUUUGUUGUAUUUUAUUAAGAAAGUAGCAAAAGUUUGGAGAUUUGCAAAGUUAAAAAAAAAAAAAGCAUUAUGAACUUAAUCUAGAUGUGAUUUGCUAAGGAACUUAAUAUAUUGAUAUGUUUUUCACAGGGGCGUCUGGGCAUGGCUUUCCCAACCUAGUAACUGCAACUUUUAGCAUCCUACAUGUAGGACUUGGGAAUAUGUGAGACAGCGCCAAGAAUUUAAUCCAGGAGAAUUGACAAGCUUAAAUGAAAUCCAUAUUGCCCACUGAUUUUGUGCAGCUUCAGAUAAGUAAUCUUUCUCCACUUAGCCUUUUGUAACAAUUGAUGUAAUAAAGGUUUGUAGUCUUUGUGUAAUUUAUUAAAGCAUUGUGCCUAAAAUAGAAAAAAAGCAUAGGAACCAUAGGCUGUGUUUUCUUUUGAUUUAAUAUUUUCAUUUCUUCAGUUAAUAGAAAUUUGCCAAAUUCUGAUGUUUUUCUGUAGCAUUAUUUGAAUGAGCAUUGUUUAUUUGAGUGAACAUUCAGCUAAUUGUUACAGAAUCGUUGCCCCCAUUAAUCUUAGGCUGUAGAAUGUAGACAAGUAAAUAGGCAUCAUCAGUAUGAUGAGAGUGAAGCUACUUAAUACUGUGGAAUCAAAUAAAGGAGGAACCCCUUACUAAACCAAGAGGGAGGAAUAAAAUGGAAUGGGACUAGAGAAGCAAUUAGCUUUAAUAAGGGUAUUAUGGAAGACUUUCUAGAUGAGAAGCAGUAAGUACAGAUGUUUGGAGGCAAACACUAGAGAGAUUGUUGGGUAAAGAAGACAAUGCUGGAGGUCUACUUGUGAAGGCCUUGAAUGCUAUGUGCAGAAGUCAGCUUCUGAGAACCAGGAAGAAGAUAUUGAAAGAUUUUAAGUAGAAGAAUCAUAGGAUUGAAUUCAUUUUAGACAGAUCACUGUUACACAAAAAUUUGAGGCAAACAGAAGAGUUUGGAGUAAACAGUAGGCUGUGAGCCAGUAAUGACUUGGACUGAGUUGGUAGCAGGUAGGUGUGAAGAAAAUAAAGUGGUUAUUGGGAGAUUUGGUUAACUGAAAAUGACUGAGGGAGAUAGAUGUCAGGUGACUCCCAAGUGAGUUGGUGGAGCAGCUAGGAGGAUAGUAAUGUCUUCACUGAGAUUAGAAA
rnacentral:lncRNA from 1 species